AUCUAAAUAGUUUAAGUAAAAUAUUGGUUUGUGGUGCCGAUGAUAUAAUUUUUAUUUUGGAUU
rnacentral:tRNA from 1 species